UACGUAGGGUGCGAGCGUUGUCCGGAAUUAUUGGGCGUAAAGAGCUCGUAGGCGGUCUGUCGCGUCUGCUGUGAAAACCCGAGGCUCAACCUCGGGCCUGCAGUGGGUACGGGCAGACUAGAGUGCGGUAGGGGAGAUUGGAAUUCCUGGUGUAGCGGUGGAAUGCGCAGAUAUCAGGAGGAACACCGAUGGCGAAGGCAGAUCUCUGGGCUGUAACUGACGCUGAGGAGCGAAAGCGUGGGGAGCGAACAGG
rnacentral:rRNA from 1 species